CAGCACCUCAAGUGGUCAGGAUGAUUAUUGGGCCUAAAGCAUCCGUAGCCGGCGCUGUAAGUUUUCGGUUAAAUCUGUACGCUCAACGUACAGGCUGCCGGGAAUACUGCAGCGCUAGGGAGUGGGAGAGGUAGACGGUACUCGGUAGGAAGGGGUAAAAUCCUUUGAUCUAUUGAUGACCACCUGUGGCGAAGGCGGUCUACCAGAACACGUCCGACGGUGAGGGAUGAAGGCUAAGGGAGCGAGCCGGAUUAGAGACCCGAGUAGUCC
rnacentral:rRNA from 1 species